AUUGAACGCUGGCGGCAGGCCUAACACAUGCAAGUCGAGCGGAUGAAGGGAGCUUGCUCCUGGAUUCAGCGGCGGACGGGUGAGUAAUGCCUAGGAAUCUGCCUGGUAGUGGGAUAACGUCCGGAAACGGGCGCUAAUACCGCAUACGUCCUGAGGGAGAAAGUGGGGGAUCUUCGGACCUCACGCUAUCAGAUGAGCCUAGGUCGGAUUAGCUAGUUGGUGGGGUAAAGGCCUACCAAGGCGACGAUCCGUAACUGGUCUGAGAGGAUGAUCAGUCACACUGGAACUGAGACACGGUCCAGACUCCUACGGGAGGCAGCAGUGGGGAAUAUUGGACAAUGGGCGAAAGCCUGAUCCAGCCAUGCCGCGUGUGUGAAGAAGGUCUUCGGAUUGUAAAGCACUUUAAGUUGGGAGGAAGGGCAGUAAGUUAAUACCUUGCUGUUUUGACGUUACCAACAGAAUAAGCACCGGCUAACUUCGUG
rnacentral:rRNA from 1 species